CAGCAACAGCAACUUUUCAUGCUGUGGAAGCUUAGUUCCUUUGUUCUUCCUGCUAAAUGUUGCUGCUGUUGACUCUUUGGGUCCGUGCCGCCUUUGAGAGCUGUAACACUCACCACGAAGGUCUGAAGCUUCACUCCUAAAGCCAGCGAGACUAGGAACCCACCAGGAGGGAGGAACAACUCCAGACGGGAGGAACGAACAACUCCGGAGGCGCCACCUUUAUGAACUGUAACACUCACCAUGAAGGUCUGCAGCUUCACUCCUGAGGCCAGUGAGACCACACAUCCACCAGUAGAAAGAAACUACGGACAAGUCUGAACAUCAGAAGGAACAAACUCCGGACAUACCAUCUUUAAGAACUGUAACAUUCGCCGUGAGGGUCUGCAGCUUCAUUCUUGAAGUCCGCAAGACCAAGAACCCACCAAUUCCGGACACGCUGGGAUACUUUGUGACUUUGUUUACAGAGAAAAAAUAAUAUAUUUUUUCAUUCCAAAUCUGUAUUUAAAAAUAUGUAUGGUCAGGCACAGUGGCUGAUGCCUGUAAUCCGAGCACUUUUGGAGGCUGAGGUGGGAUCACUUGAGACUAGGAGCUCAUAUUGACCAGCCUGGCCAUCAUGGCAAAACCCCAUCUGUACUAAAAAUACAAAAGUUAGCCAGGGAAGGAUAUGGCUACUUUGAAAUGGAAACAAAAGAUUUUAAAUAAGAAACAAUGAAUAACAUUAUCCACAGAAAAUCAGAGAUUGAACCGUCAACAUUAACAUGGCAUUUAUCUUUUAUUUUUAUUUACAUUAUUUUUUUAGAC
rnacentral:lncRNA from 1 species